CGACGCUGGCGGCGUGCUUAACACAUGCAAGUCGAACGAGAGGACAAGAGAAGCUUGCUUCUUUUGGAAUCGAGUGGCAAACGGGUGAGUAACACGUAAACAACCUGCCUUCAGGAUGGGGACAACAGACGGAAACGACUGCUAAUACCGAAUACGCUUGGGAGACCGCAUGAUCUUCCAAGGAAAGGGUGGCCUCUACUUGUAAGCUAUCGCCUGAAGAGGGGUUUGCGUCUGAUUAGGCAGUUGGUGAGGUAACGGCCCACCAAACCUACGAUCAGUAGCCGGUCUGAGAGGAUGAACGGCCACACUGGAACUGAGACACGGUCCAUACUCCUACGGGAGGCAGCAGUGGGGAAUCUUCCGCAAUGGGCGAAAGCCUGACGGAGCAACGCCGCGUGAGUGAUGACGGCCUUCGGGUUGUAAAGCUCUGUGAUCGGGGACGAACGGUCCGUAAGCCAAUACCUUAUGGAAGUGACGGUACCCGAAUAGCAAGCCACGGCUAACUACGUG
rnacentral:rRNA from 1 species